UCUCUCCCUCUCUGCUGCCCCCUCCCCCCGCUUCUGUUCUUCCGGCUCCGCUCCCUUCCCUCCCAUGAACCUCUUCACAGCCCGCUUUUAUUGAUCCGGCGACCCCAUGGUGUGUUUAAGAGCUUCGGUGGCGCUAUCGUCAAAGCAAGCGCCUUUCACCUCUGAUAUUGUGGAUAUAGAUCCAUGUCUCGCUGUUCAUCAAUUGACCAUUUGCAUUAUAGACUAAAUUUUGAUCUCAACAAAA